GACGAACGCUGGCGGCGUGCUUAACACAUGCAAGUCGAACGGUGAAGCGCCUUCCUUUUUGGUGGGUGUGGAUGAGUGGCGAACGGGUGAGUAACACGUGAGUAACCUGCCCCCUGCUUCUGGAUAACCGCAUGAAAGUGUGGCUAAUACGGGAUAUUCUGGGUCUGUCGCAUGAUGGGUCUGGGAAAGAUAUUGUUUCGGUGGGGGAUGGGCUCGCGGCCUAUCAGGUUGUUGGGGGGGUGAUGGCCUACCAAGGCGGUGACGGGUAGCCGGCCUGAGAGGGUGGACGGUCACACUGGGACUGAGCCACGGCCCAGACUCCUACGGGAGGCAGCAGUGGGGAAUAGUGAACAAUGGGCGCAAGCCUGAUGCAGCGACGCCGCGUGAGGGAUGGAGGCCUUCGGGUUGUGAACCUCUUUCGCCAGUGAAGCAGGCCUGCCUAGUUUGUGGGUGGGUUGACGGUAGCUGGAUAAGAAGCGCCGGCUAACUACGUG
rnacentral:rRNA from 1 species